ensembl:snRNA U7 U7 small nuclear RNA
CAGUGUUACAGCUCUUUUAGAAUUUGUCUAGCAGGCUUUCCGGUUUUUUCUGGAAAGCCCCU